AUCGGUGACAAUCGCAUUCGCAUUCAGGUUCUCGCUGUCUGCGGCUGCGAGAAGCGAAAAGAGUAUUAACAAUUCGCACGAUAAAAUCUCCGGAGACGGCUGCCUGAGCGUAUCAAUUACACGCCUCAGUUUUUCAGCUCUCUGCUGCCUGACAGUGGCUCAACGGGUUCGUGGGGCAGACCAAAGAGGUCGGAACUAUACUGAGAAAAAUAGGGCGACUCAAGAGGACCACCCCAUAGUAAAAUCUCUUUAAAUGUCCGAUAUAUCAGUGUUCAUACGGACAGACUUACGGACGGACAAGCGGACAUGGCUAUAUUGAUACUGUUUAAGCAUAUAUACAAUUUAAAGGAUCGACAAUGAUUAUAUCUAAGAGUAACGAAUUUAUUAUACCGCUUUCUUUAAAUUAAGUUUUGUUAUGCAGAAAAUAUGGGAUAUUUUUCUCAGUGUCUACUCCGCCAGCGACAUUCAAACUCGCGCCCAUGCUUG